AAGUCGUAACAAGGUUUCCGUAGGUGAACCUGCGGAAGGAUCAUUAACACGUUUUCGUUCCAAAACGUUUCUUGAACCAUUUCAUUUUCUGUGCACCCCCUUGAAACCGGCCUCCUGAGCCGUCCUCCGGGUUUACUCGGUGUGACCUGCUCGGGCGUCUUUGGGAACCAAGGUUGAGAGAGUGGUCUUUUUGUCGCAAGACGAGUUGACUCUUUUUCGACCUCCUGAAGGCGUUGCCAUCAACCCAAACCCUUUAACCUGUAUGUCUGAACUCUGAAGUUGAAAAUUCACUUUUUCAACGACUAAAAACAAAUAACAACUCUUAACAACGGAUAUCUUGGUUCUC
rnacentral:misc_RNA from 1 species